rnacentral:misc_RNA from 1 species
GAACCAGUUUUUGGGCGACUAAAUGCAGAGUGGUCAGCCCCUCACAAAACCCCUUUGAAGCCUUUCCUCUUUCAUGUCCACGGAUUGUCAACUGAUCCCUCUACCCUCUGUGUAUGCGCCACUGAUUUCCAUUCAAAUACAUGGCACGCUUUGAAGUCUGCGCAGGAGCUUGAAGAUAUGAGGGACAGAACUGGUAUAGGAGGCUCUUGGUCUGACUUUGUAGAUUACCUUAUAGCUGCCGUUAAGUCUGAAGAUGUGAAGCU